UGUCCCUGAUCUGGUGAAUGAAGAGUUGAUGCUCUCUCAUCAACCAGGGGCAAACCAACCCUAUUUUUGAAGCAUGGCUUCUGGUCUACAUCGCUGCCUGGUUCAUGCCUUGGGCAUAUUG
ensembl:snoRNA